GAUGAACGCUGGCGGCGUGCCUAAUACAUGCAAGUCGAGCGAACAGACGAGGAGCUUGCUCCUCUGACGUUAGCGGCGGACGGGUGAGUAACACGUGGAUAACCUACCUAUAAGCCUGGGAUAACUUCGGGAAACCGGAGCUAAUACCGGAUAAUAUCUUGAACCGCAUGGUUCAAUAGUGACAGACGGUUUUGCUGUCAAGUAUAGAUGGAUCCGCGCCGCAUUAGCUAGUUGGUAAGGUAACGGCCUACCAAGGCAACGAUGCGUAGCCGACCUGAGAGGGUGAUCGGCCACACUGGAACUGAGACACGGUCCAGACUCCUACGGGAGGCAGCAGUAGGGAAUCUGCCGCAAUGGGCGAAAGCCUGACGGAGCAACACCGCGUGAGUGAUGAAGGUCUUCGGAUCGUAAAACUCUGUUAUUAGGGAAGAACAAAUGUGUAAGUAACUAUGCACGUCUUGACGGUACCUAAUCAGAAAGCCACGGCUAACUACGUG
rnacentral:rRNA from 1 species